UCCCAGAGCGCGAGGCGACGGCGUGCGAGCGCCACAGAGAGAGCGCCCGGGCAGCCGCCCCCCGGCUUCCCCUCCACGUUCCGCCCCCGGCCGGCCGUCGGCCACUACGUCCCCCAGUGCGACCAGCGCGGGGCCUACGAGUCCACGCAGUGCCACGCCGCCAUCGGCCAGUGCUGGUGUGCGGACGCCGCCGGACGGGAGAUCCCCAACACCCGCAUGGGGCCCGGCAGCGCCCACCUGUGUGAGUCCACUCUACAUGCCCUAAAUGCUCUACACGCUCUACAUGCCCUAAACGCUCUACAUGCCCUAAACCUCUACAUGCUCUACAUGCCCUAAAUGCUCUACAUGCCCUAAACGCUCUACAUGCCCUAAAUGCUCUACAUGCUCUACGUUCUCUAAACGCUCUACAUGCCCUAAAUGCUCUACAUGCUCUACACGCUCUACAUCCCCUAAAUGCUCUACACACUCAACGUUCUCUAAACGCCCUAUACGCUCUACAUGCCCUAAAUGCUCCACACGCUCUACGUUCUCUAAACGCUCUACAUGCUCUAUACGCUCUACAUGCCCUUCCUCCUCUACAUGCUCUACCUCUUCUAAAGCCUCUACAUGCUAUACCUCCUUUAAAUACUCCAUAUGACCUUUACGCUCCACACGCUCUACACGCUCUGGAUUUUCCUCAUUAAAUCCCGAUUGAUGACCUCGCAGGUAUCGACCAGGCGGUGACUCCCGGUCCGGGGGGUCCGACCCCACGGCCCGACGUGCACCCCGUCCCGUCAGGGACGCACCUGCUGUUCGCCCAGAGCGGGAAGAUCGAACGCGUUCCUCUGGACGGGUACGACAUGCAGCAGGAGGAGGCCAAACCUCUGCUGUACCUCCCGGUGAGACGGCUGCAGAUUUCAAUUCGACUCAAUUAGCAUGCUAGCAUUUGCUAACUAAACAAACUGCACGCUGAUGGGAAUGUCAUUAGUUCUGAAACAAAGUAUCGGACUCAAGGUGGAUAUGAUGGUGAAAUGCAUUUGCAGGGACAUAUGAAUAUUGAAUCAAACUUUGUGGCAAAUCAGAGACGAGACGGGUUUCCCUUAACAA
ensembl:lncRNA